GACGAACGCUGGCGGCGUGCUUAACACAUGCAAGUCGAACGGAGAUAUUGAAGGAAGCUUGCGAAUUCGAUAUCUUAGUGGCGGACGGGUGAGUAACGCGUGGGUAACCUACCCUAAACACCGGGACAACAGUUGGAAACGACUGCUAAUACCAGAUAAUCUCUUGAGGCGGCAUCGCUUUAAGAGGAAAGGUGGCCUCUGAAGAUGCUACCGUUUAAGGAUGGACCCGCGUCUGAUUAGCUAGUUGGUAAGGUAACGGCUUACCAAGGCGACGAUCAGUAGCCGGCCUGGGAGGGUGAUCGGCCACACUGGGACUGAGACACGGCCCAGACUCCUACGGGAGGCAGCAGUGGGGAAUCUUCCGCAAUGGGCGAAAGCCUGACGGAGCAACGCCGCGUGAAUGAAGAAGGCCUUCGGGUCGUAAAGUUCUGCCUUUAGGGAAGAAGUCUCUUUAUGUGAAUAAUGUAGAGAGGUGACGGUACCUGAGGAGGAAGCUCCGGCUAACUAC
rnacentral:rRNA from 1 species